rnacentral:misc_RNA from 1 species
GCGCACAGUGUGUUGCUUGAAAUUGCAGCAGAGGGCGGUGUGUUGCUCGCGGCAGCCGUUCUCAUUGCGUGGAUAGCUGCGAUAGCAUUGCUCGUUCGAGCGUUGAGAAAGGCUGAAAAACCCAGUGAUUCANNNNGCACUCGGCGUCUGCGUCAUUGCCUUGUUGCAUUCGCUCGUCGAUUUCUCGCUGCAAAUACCGGCCUACGGGAUUACUGUAUCGUCAUUGAUGGGGGCGGGACUCGCG